GGGGUAUUCAGUUAUUCUACUACUCCUUUGGUCGUUUACUGUGAGAAAAUUAGAGUGUUCAAAGCGGGCGUUUGUUUGAAUAGAUUAGCAUGGAAUAAUGAUUGAAGGCUUUCGUGUUCGAUUUGAUUGGUUUGUUCAUGGAAGCAAGGUUAAAAGGAACAGUUGGGGGUAUUCAUAUUCACUAGUUAGAGGUGAAAUUCUCGGAUUUAUGGAAGAUGAACAGGUGCGAAAGCAUUUACCAAGGAUGUUUUCAUUA
rnacentral:rRNA from 1 species